rnacentral:rRNA from 1 species
UCCGGAGGGGGCUAUCGUUGUUCGGAAUUACUGGGCGUAAAGCGCGCGUAGGCGGUCCUGCAAGUCGGGGGUGAAAGCCCGAGGCUCAACCUCGGAACUGCCUUCGAUACUGCGGGUCUCGAGUCCGGGAGAGGUGAGUGGAAUUCCUAGUGUAGAGGUGAAAUUCGUAGAUAUUAGGAAGAACACCAGUGGCGAAGGCGGCUCACUGGCCCGGUACUGACGCUGAGGCGCGAAAGCGUGGGGAGAAAACAGG